GACUCUCGGCAACGGAUAUCUUGGCUCCCACCACGAUGAAGAACGUAACGAAAUGCGAUACUUGGUGUGAAUUGCAGAAUCCCGUGAAUCAUCGAGUUUUUGAACGCAAGUUGCGCCCG
rnacentral:rRNA from 1 species